rnacentral:lncRNA from 1 species
UUCGUUAGAUCUACUAGAAAGAAUCUAAACCAGAUGGCUGUCAGCAAAGUCUGGAUAAAAAGAAAGAUUGAAAUGAAGCAAAUUAAUCAUGGAUCUAUAUAAAUCAACAGUCCAACCAUCAUUUCUACAGGUACAACCUCUGGAAAACUAAUAUUUUACAAGAUAAGUUGGAGGUAUUGAGCGUAGGGAGACUACUUUUUAUUAUACAAAGCUCAAACAGAGUACCACUGAGCAACGUAUUUUUCAACUAACUGGCAAAUUGAAGCAGACUUUGCUCGGAAGACUCACCAUUUUCAGUGUUGAGGGGUCAGAGAAGGGAAAGAUGGAAUUGACUGCAGUAUCAAUUUCCGACCCGUUCGUGGCAGUGGCGAUAAACCGAAAUCACUCUGAGGAGGAGAUAUCCUCUUGCUGUUGGGGGAACCAGUCUUCACGCCUGCUCCAGGAGAGCAUUCGCCACGAAGAAUAUCUGGCAUUUCAUCUUCCAAAACAGGUUUAGUGUUUAUCCCAAGAUCCGGUUGGGCUCGGAGGAUAUUCGGUUUUUCAAGCUUGUGGCCAGCAUAAAAUCCAGAUGAGGAUCCAACAUUUAGAAAAGAAGAACGCAGGGGCUUGCUUCUUGAAGAGAAUGGCAGGGCAACCAA